AGAAUUAUGAUGUAGUUGGUCUACACUUUGAUUGCAGAUCUUAAGUCUGAGGUUCAAUUCCUCCAUAAUUCUA